GUCAAGGUGUACGAGAGGCCAAGUCAAUGCCGGGGCCUAUCGAUUCUCAAAUGGGCUUUUUUUUUUUUUUUGCUGUAGAUUUGCGCCGCCUAUAUUAGAUCACUUAGAAAAGCGAUGCCUCUGCAAGAGAUCCGCAUGUGCUAGAAACUUACUAUACUUCGAAAUUUGCGGGUUGUAUAGUAUGGCGGCGCUAGCGAAGUAGAAGAAGAAAAGAACGAUGAUGAGGCUGGGCGUGAUGACGCCCAGGGCUCGCGCUCGCCCUGCCGCUAAAGACCGAUCAGUCGUUGCCGGGCCUUCGUAAAUUAAACGCGUUUUUCUUGUCGCCUAUGUGUUCUCUGAGGGCUUCGGCCGACCACUGGCCCCGAGCCCACAAUAGAUAUGUUGUAAGCUAGAUUUGAGCUCUCCUCGCGAUGUCGCCAUCAAGUGUGGCGCGAAAGCCGCGCUCGCAUAGCGCACAAUGCUUCGCCCACGAGGCUUCCCCAGUUUCCAACUACCUCCCGUCGCGCUGCAGAGACAGGGAGGAGGUUGCAGGCGGUCGCCAUACGUCUAGACUGAAAGUCGCCGGUUCUGCGACGACCACGGACUGGUUACAGGCACGUUUUGUUCAUUUAUGAUCGAUUGAUUGAUGUGGAUGCAGUCGAGAGCACAGUAAAUGAACACGAUACUGAUAUUGCCAUUGUGCUACCAAAACGUAAGCAAAAUCCGAAUGACGAAAAAGGAGGCGAUGACAACACAGGCACUUUCACUGUCAACGACGUGUGGAGUAAAUGUAGGUCGGCUAAUCGAAGCCUUCAACUAUAUUCCGGCAAAAUUAUCUUACUUCAGUGACAUCGCCAGGGCACUCAGUUAUCUAGAGCGUAACCGUGCUUCGGUUGACCAACUCAUAAAUAUCCGUACGCGAUCAAAUAGUAAAACGAUGUGUCACGAUAGAAGGGCAAUAUGAUUCAACGACGAAAAUUAGCCCAGUUUUCACCCAUACACGUCUCCAGAAAGGAAGAAUGCUAGAACGCCCCUGUAUAUUUCUCAAAUCAAGGUAUUUCGCGCCGAGACAAAACGGUAAUGAAAAAAAAGUACCAUUACCACAGACGAAUUGAUACCUCCUUACAAUAAUUUAUAUCAGGAAAAUUCAGCAGUUGCCGUGCUUUUUUAUGUAAAUUGGACCAAAAUAAAUGCAGUAACAGAAAAAAAAUACUUGCCUUCAGUGCAUCCAGAAGAUCCUGGCGACAAUGCUUGGUCGUACGCAGAAAAAAAAAAAGAAAGAAAAAACCCUGCGCACGCUGUAAUCCCGCGCGCUCUGCUUUCUGUCGCGGUCUCCACUGCCACCGGAUGGAUGGAUGGAUGAGGCUGAACCCAUAGAGAAAGAAAUUCAACAAGAGGGGACACUCGGCAAAAACUGGCAACAGGAAACACGUCACCCUACGUCACGCUAUACUUUUGACACCGAACGUUAGCUGCCGCGAGCAUAGAAAAAAAAGAAAGUGAACUUAAGUUAACAGGCUUUUAUUUAUUUUUUUAAUUCUUUCCCGCGAAAACUAAAACGUUUUGCGUAUAAAUGAACUUAAGCUUUGCGACUUAUUUUCCUUGCCUUACCUAGCCACAGGUCAGUGACGCGCCAGAUACAUGCGUCAUCCGCCAGACACUCCCCCGAAGCCAGCGAGGAUGGCUGCGCGCGCGUUUGAGCGCUCGCGCGCGGCGACCCGUCUGUCUCCUUCUUUUUUUCUUUUUUAAAUGUAACCUGGUUUAUUGGGCUCUCGGCGUAUUCUUGCGUUCCUUCUGCACUGGGACAAGACACCACUGCACUAUUGGACUACGGCAAGCUGGUGCCGUCCGGUGGAGCUUCAUACAGGAACUACUGCCUUAUCUGCUGGUGUCACAACGUUGGAUGAACGCACAAAAAGCGCGGAACGAGCUUUUAUAUAGAGCAAAAUAAAUAUUUCCUCAUUGCACAAAA